GCUUACAAGUUACAAAUGAUUGCAUUUCCAAAAAAAAACUCUCAUGGUACAAUUGCGACAUUUACUUAAAUAGAAAGAAAAAGGAAAUAGUCUCAAUGAAUACCUAAUCUAAUUAUACGUAUUCCAGGUCAUAUGUACAUCUUAAAAUAUAAAUGAAGUGAAAAAGCUCCUAAUUCCACACGCUAUGGAGCAAAAUCCUACAAAGAAAUAAAUUCAACAGAUAUAAGGAAGAUAGUCGAGGAAAUUUGAUUUACCAUGAUGUGUUUGACUCAGCUUUUACGAUCAUCUAUUGUAGUAAAAGUCAUUGUUCCAUGUGUCGCUGUUGUGUUCGCAGAUGAAGAAGAAUCAACUUGUUUACCCGAGCCAGCAGAUAGCGUGUCUGAUGAUGUAUUUUUCUGAUUCCUGAGACUUACUAGAUCGGAUAACAUGCCUGGCUCAGAUAUCUCUUCAUCAUUCACUUGCAUCUCACCAGUCAGCAAUUUCACCACAGUGGACAUCGAUGGUCGGCUUUUGGGCAUGACUUGGGUGCAUAAGAGAGACACCUUCAAGAAUUUGCAAGCAUCAACAACAUCGAAGUCAUCUCCCAAUAAUGCAUCUACCAAUUGAAUGAGCUCCCCCUUCUUGAACAGUCUCCAUGCCCGUUCAAGAAGAUAUUGUUCCUCAAUAGGUAACCGCUUGUUUGUGUUGCAUCUUCCACUAACGAUUUCCAAAAGGAGAAUCCCAAAACUGUAUACAUCUGCUUUCCGUGUCAACUGCCCUCUCAUUGCAUAUUCAGGGGCCAAAUAACCUAGUGUUCCUGCCACACGGGUGCUAACAUGGG
rnacentral:misc_RNA from 1 species